GCCAGGCGUGGUGGCACAUGCCUGUAGUCCCAGCUACUUAGGAGGCUGAGGCAGGAGGAUCACCUUAGCCCAGGGAAGUUGAGGCUGCAGUGAGCUGUAAUCACCACUGCACUUCAGCCUGGGAAACAGAGUGAGACCCUGUCUCCA
ensembl:misc_RNA Metazoa_SRP Metazoan signal recognition particle RNA